UUCUUAGCUCAGUUGGUUAGAGCAUCUGCCUUACAAGCAGGAGGUCGUAGGUUCGAGUCCCACAGAGUC
rnacentral:tRNA from 1 species